rnacentral:rRNA from 1 species
CAUGGAGGGUGAGAAUCCCGUACGUGGCUCAUGAUCGCACCCAUGUGAAACUCCUUCGACGAGUCGAGUUGUUUGGGAAUGCAGCUCAAAAUGGGUGGUAAAUUUCAUCUAAAGCUAAAUAUUGGCCAGAGACCGAUAGCGCACAAGUAGAGUGAUCGAAAGAUGAAAAGCACUUUGAAAAGAAAGUCAAAUAGCACGUGAAAUUGUUGAAAGGGAAACGAUUGAAGUCAGUCGUACCGAUGGGCAUUCAACUCCUCGGGUGCGAUUAUGUGGGUGUUGGGGAGCUUAACGGCCCUCGCGUUUGCGUAUUUGUGCCCUUCGGGUGUACUUGCCCGUAUGGUAGGUCAGCAUCAAUUUUGGACAUCAUGAAAUGACGGGGGGAAAGUAGCUUCGAUCUCGUAUUGAAGUGUUAUAGCCCCUGGUAGAUGUGAUGACCGGGAUUGAGGAUUGCAACGAACCCUUCGGGGCCACCUGCCUGGCCUCUGUUGGUCGCUCUGGUGCCGAAAGCUCGCUUACGGUCAUCGGAGUUGAUCGUCAAAAGGUUAGAACGGGUUGAAUUCGUUAAGGAUGUUGACGUAAUGG